rnacentral:rRNA from 1 species
UACGGGGGGGGUAAGCGUUGUUCGGAAUUACUGGGCGUAAAGGGUUCGUAGGUGGCCUACUAAGUCAGACGUGAAAUCCCUCAGCUUAACUGGGGAACUGCGUCUGAUACUGGGGGGCUUGAGUGCAGGAGAGGGAAGCGGAAUUUCAGGUGUAGUGGUGAAAUGCGUAGAUAUCUGAAGGAACACCAGUGGCGAAGGCGGCUUUCUGGCCUAUUCUUGACGCUGAGGCGCGAAAGCUAGGGGAGCGAACGGG